AAACAAUAGCAACCCCUUUACCUUUCCUCUUACCCAAACCACCAGACUCAUAUCUCUGAAAAGUCUGUUCACAAACUCUCUCCAUUUCUUCAGGGGUCAGUCCUGGAACAUUUUGAACAGUGGGUGUUGUUCUGGCAGUUAAAGAAGCCAUUUUUAUGGAGAAAUUGCAGUGGAAUGUGAAAAGGGUGUGCUUUGAUUUGCUUGAAAAUGGAGUAAAUU
rnacentral:misc_RNA from 1 species